CAGGCGGAUGCUAUGGGGGCUUGUGGGGGCAGACGAUGGUAUGGAACAGGCAGUGCUAUGGGGCAGGCAAUGCUAUGGGGCAGGGAGUGCUGUGCUAUGGGGCAGGCGAUGCUUUGGGGCAGGCGAUGCUAUGGGGCUGUGGGGCAGGCAAUGCUAUGGGGCAGGCGAUGCUAUGGGGCUGACGAUGCUAUGGGGCAGGGAGUGCUGUGCUAUGGGGCAGGCGAUGCUAUGGGGCUGACAAUGCUAUGGGGCAGUCGAUGCUAUGGGGCUGUGGGGCAGGUGAUGCUAUGGGGCUGUGGGGCAGGCAAUGCUAUGGGGCUGGGAGUGCUGAGCUAUGGGGCAGGAGAUGCUAUGGGGCUGGGAGUGCUAUGGGGCUGUGGGGCAGGCAAUGCUAUGGGGCAGGCGAUGCUAUGGGGCUGUGGGGCAGACGAUGGUAUGGAACAGGCAGUGCUAUGGGGCAGGCAAUGCUAUGGGGCAGGGAGUGCUGUGCUAUGGGGCAGGCGAUGCUAUGGGGCAGGCGAUGCUAUGGGGCUGUGGGGCAGGCAAUGCUAUGGGGCAGGCGAUGCUAUGGGGCUGAUGAUGCUAUGGGGCAGGGAGUGCUGUGCUAUGGGGCAGGCGAUGCUAUGGGGCUGACAAUGCUAUGGGGCAGGCGAUGCUAUGGGGCUGUGGGGCAGGUGAUGCUAUGGGGCUGUGGGGCAGGCAAUGCUAUGGGGCAGGGAGUGCUGAGCUAUGGGGCAGGAGAUGCUAUGGGGCAGGCGAUGCUAUGGGGCAGGGAGUGCUGUGCUAUGGGGCAGGCGAUGCUAUGGGGCUGACAAUGCUAUGGGGCAGGCGAUGCUAUGGGGCUGUGGGGCAGGUGAUGCUAUGGGGCUGUGGGGCAGGUAAUGCUAUGGGGCAGGGAGUGCUGUGCUAUGGGGCAGGCGAUGCUAUGGGGCUGUGGGGCAGGCAAUGCUAUGGGGCUGGGAGUGCUGUGCUAUGGGGCAGGCGAUGCUAUGGUGCUGUGGGUCGCGAUGUGGGGCAGCUGCUGACCUUCCCCCCCCCCCCCCCCAUUCCCGCCCCAUAGCCCUGGAGGGCGUCCUGGCGCGCGCCCCACACCGGCCGUGGGGCACAGAGGUGGCAGUGCGCCGCGCCCCCCCGUGGGACCCCACAGCGCUGCUGCUUUUGGGGGCCCCCCCCGAAGCGCUGCGGCCCCUUCUGCCCCACAACUCCAUCUGCAGCUGCCACCCUAUGGGGGGGGGAUCCGUCCUACUGAUGGCGCUGCCCGUGGGGGACAAAGAGCUGCAAUGUCUGCGCUCGGCGCUGUCCGCGGCGGCGGUGCUGAAGCGGCUGCCGCUGUCGGACGCGGUUUGGGUGCUGCCGCCGCGGGCGCCGCGGGCCGUCCUGGAGCUCUACUUUGAGAACCGCCGCAGCGCGGGCGGCGCCGUCCGGGAGGUCGUGGAGCGCCGAGACGGAACCGCCAUCGUCGUCUUCCGGGACCCCCACGUGGUGCCGCGGGUGCUGCGGAGAACCCAUCGGCUGCAGGACGUGGAGCUGCGCGUGGCGCCCUAUUACCCGGCCCUGGACCCAAACGGAACCGCUCCGGUACCGCACGGGGACACACGCACGGAGCCGGCACCGCCUGCUCACCGAUACCUUGGUACCGAACCGCGGGGUGUGGAUCCGGUACCGGGGGGUGAUAGAGAUAUGGGUCUGACACCGGGGGGUGUGGAUUUGGUACCGGGGGGUGUGGAUCCGGAACCGGGGGGUGAUAGAGAUAUGGAUCUGGCACCGGGGGGUGUGGAUUUGGUACCGGGAGGUAUGGAUUUGGUACUGGGUGGUGUGGAUCCGGUACCGGGGGGUGAUAGAGAUAUGGGUCAGGUACUGGGAGGUGUGGAUUUGGUACCGGGUGGUGUGGAUUUGGUACCGGGGGGUGAUAGAGAUAUGGAUCCGGUACCAGGGGGUGUGGAUCCGGUACCGGGGGGUGAUAGAGAUAUGGGUCUGACACCGGGGGGUGUGGAUUUGGUACCGGGUGGUAUGGAUUUGGUACCAGGGGGUGUGGAUCUGGAACCGGGGGGUGAUGGAGAUAUGGAUCCGGUACCGGGAGGUGUGGAUUUGGUACCGGGAGGUGUGGAUUUGGUACCGGGGGGUGUGGAUUUGGUACUGGGGGGUGAUAGAGAUAUGGGUCCGGUACCGGGGGGUGUGGAUUUGGUACCGGGGGGUGAUAGGGAUAUGGGUCUGGUACCAGGGGGUGUGGAUCCGGAACCGGGGGGUGAUAGAGAUAUGGAUCUGGCACCGGGGGGUGUGGAUUUGGUACUGGGGGGUGAUAGAGAUAUGGGUCAGGUACUGGGGGCUGUGGAUCCGGAACCGGGGGGUGAUAGAGAUAUGGGUCAGGUACCGGGGGGUGUGGAUUUGGUACUGGGGGGUGUGGAUCCGGUACCGGGGGGUGUGGAUUUGGCACUGGGAGGUGUGGAUUUGGUACUGGGAGGUGUGGAUCCGGUACCGGGGUGGUGAUAGAGGUAUGGAUCCGGUACCGGGGGGUGUGGAUUUGGUACCGGGGGGUGUGGAUUUGGUACCGUGGGGUGAUAGAGAUAUGGGUCUGGUACUGGGUGGUGUGGAUUUGGUACCGGGGGGUUGUGGAUUUGGUACUGGGAGGUGUGGAUUUGGUACCGGGGGGUGAUAGAGAUAUGGGUCUGGUACUGGGAGGUGUGGAUUUGGUACCGGGGGGUGUGGAUUUGGUACCGGGGGGUGAUAGAGAUAUGUGUCAGGUACUGGGGGCUGUGGAUCCGGAACCGGGGGGUGAUAGAGAUAUGGAUCCGGUACCGGGGGGUGUGGAUUUGGUACCGGGGGGUGUGGAUUUGGUACCGGGGGGGGUGAUAGAGAUAUGGAUCCGGUACCGGGUGGUGUGGAUCCGGUACCGGGGGUGAUAGAGAUAUGGGUCUGCCACCGGGGGGUGUGGAUUUGGUACCGGGGGGUGAUAGAGAUAUGGAUCCGGUACCGGGGGGUGUGGAUUUGGUACCGGGGGGUGAUAGGGAUAUGGGUCUGACACCGGGGGGUGUGGAUUUGGUACCGGGGGGUGUGGAUUUGGUACCGGGGGGUGAUAGAGAUAUGGGUCUGGUACCGGGGGGUGUGGAUUUGGUACUGGGAGGUGUGGAUUUGGUACCGGGGGUGAUAGAGAUAUGGGUCCGGUACCGGGGGGUGUGGAUUUGGUACCGGGGGGUGAUGGAGAUAUGGGUCUGACACCGGGGGGUGUGGAUUUGGUACUGGGGGGUGUGGAUCUGGUACCGGGAGGUGUGGAUUUGGUACUGGGGGGUGAUAGAGAUAUGGAUACGGUACCGGGGGGUGUGGAUCCGGAACCGGGGGGUGUGGAUUUGGUACCGGGUGGUAUGGAUUUGGUACCGGGGGGUGAUAGAGAUAUGGGUCAGGUACUCGGGGGUGUGGAUUUGGUACCGGGGGGUGAUAGAGAUAUGGAUCCGGCGCCGGGGGGUGUGGGUUUGGUACUGGGAGGUGUGGAUUUGGUACCGGGGGGUGAUAGAGAUAUGGGUCAGCUACUGGGGGGUGUGGAUUUGGUACCGGGGGGUGUGGAUUUGGUACCAGGGGGUGUGGAUCCGGAACUGGGG
rnacentral:lncRNA from 7 species